CACCUUGCAAGAAGCUCAAAAAAUACAGAGAAACUUUCACCGGAGAGUCUUUGAACUUCUCUCGUCUGGACUAACCUCCCUGUCAUUUGCCAAGCACACGGAAGUGCUUAUCCCUCUCAGGUAUGGCUGCAGAUACCCUCUUACAACCACCCCUUGAGGCAGGAACACUGGAGCUAAUCUGCUCACAGUGAUGGCGGGCAGCCAGAAUCAAAUCUACCCUUCCAUUGUGUCCACAUCAAGAUUCUCUCACCCAAAGAGAACAUCCAGCUCCCACCUUCCUGUGAAGCUCUGUGGAAGAAGCCCUACACUCUCACUUCCACUCUACCAAGGAUUUACUCCACAGACUUCAGAGCCAAGAAUACCUAAUUUGAGACACAUUUCACUUCUUUGAAAUCGCUUUGUGUGUUAUUGUCAGCUCCAAACUACAAAGCAGAAAGGGUGAGCCAAGAAAUUCUAUGACUUCACAGAAAGGUUACAUCAAGUUUCUCUCCCAUGGCUUUCAAAUCCACGCUAGUCUUCUAAAUAUGAAGAAUGAAGAGUUCAACGUGACUUGUACCCGCAUAUAAACAUGCCUCUCUACACAGACUAGGGUCAGGCUGAUGGAAGCAGUGGUCCGUGUCUGUAACCCUCGUAUUUGGGGAACUGACGAGGAGUAGUACUACAGGGAGUUCAAGGCCAGCCCGCGUCACAGGGAGACCCUGUCUCAGAAAGCAACAGCAAACCAAACCAAACAGGAAACUCUCCAUCCCAGCUCUAGUCGCCAACUGGAAUGUCGCUCGGUGGAGGAGCAUUUGCUCAGUAUGCGCCAGGUCCUGAACAUCUGUGGUGCAGUUCCAAACAAGACAGACAACCCUGCUAUCAAAAACUACUGCUCACUGAAGAACAAAACAGGAACGAGAGUCUCUUCUGAAAGGAACUGCCAUCUCCUGUCUGCCGUCUACACUGGAAGGUGGCUCACCAUUGAACCCUCUGCUGCAGGACUUGGGAGGUCAUUUGGACCAACAGGCCCUCCCUGAACUUCACCCAGUGAGUUUCUCAUGCACACUAAACACCUUUUUUUUUUUCAAGCUGAAAGAAGGGUUUUAAUGUUUCUACCACAAUAAAAUAACAAAUGUUCAAAUAAUAAAAUAAAAUAACCAAGUUA